rnacentral:rRNA from 1 species
GGUUUAAGCGUGUAGGCUGAUUUUCCAGGCAAAUCCGGAAAAUCAAGGCUGAGGCGUGAUGACGAGGCACUACGGUGCUGAAGCAACAAAUGCCCUGCUUCCAGGAAAAGCCUCUAAGCAUCAGGUAACAUCAAAUCGUACCCCAAACCGACACAGGUGGUCAGGUAGAGAAUACCAAGGCGCUUGAGAGAACUCGGGUGAAGGAACUAGGCAAAAUGGUGCCGUAACUUCGGGAGAAGGCACGCUGAUAUGUAGGUGAAGCGACUUGCUCGUGGAGCUGAAAUCAGUCGAAGAUACCAGCUGGCUGCAACUGUUUAUUAAAAACACAGCACUGUGCAAACACGAAAGUGGACGUAUACGGUGUGACGCCUGCCCGGUGCCGGAAGGUUAAUUGAUGGGGUUAGCGGUAACGCGAAGCUCUUGAUCGAAGCCCCGGUAAACGGCGGCCGUAACUAUAACGGUCCUAAGGUAGCGAAAUUCCUUGUCGGGUAAGUUCCGACCUGCACGAAUGGCGUAAUGAUGGCCAGGCUGUCUCCACCCGAGACUCAGUGAAAUUGAACUCGCUGUGAAGAUGCAGUGUACCCGCGGCAAGACGGAAAGACCCCGUGAACCUUUACUAUAGCUUGACACUGAACAUUGAGCCUUGAUGUGUAGGAUAGGUGGGAGGCUUUGAAGUGUGGACGCCAGUCUGCAUGGAGCCGGCCUUGAAAUACCACCCUUUAAUGUUUGAUGUUCUAACGUUGGCCCCUGAUCGGGGUUGCGGACAGUGUCUGGUGGGUAGUUUGACUGGGGCGGUCUCCUCCUAAAGAGUAACGGAGGAGCACGAAGGUUGGCUAAUCCUGGUCGGACAUCAGGAGGUUAGUGCAAUGGCAUAAGCCAGCUUGACUGCGAGCGUGACGGCGCGAGCAGGUGCGAAAGCAGGUCAUAGUGAUCCGGUGGUUCUGAAUGGAAGGGCCAUCGCUCAACGGAUAAAAGGUACUCCGGGGAUAACAGGCUGAUACCGCCCAAGAGUUCAUAUCGACGGCGGUGUUUGGCACCUCGAUGUCGGCUCAUCACAUCCUGGGGCUGAAGUAGGUCCCAAGGGUAUGGCUGUUCGCCAUUUAAAGUGGUACGCGAGCUGGGUUUAGAACGUCGUGAGACAGUUCGGUCCCUAUCUGCCGUGGGCGCUGGAGAACUGAGGGGGGCUGCUCCUAGUACGAGAGGACCGGAGUGGACGCAUCACUGGUGUUCGGGUUGUCAUGCCAAUGGCACUGCCCGGUAGCUAAAUGCGGAAGAGAUAAGUGCUGAAAGCAUCUAAGCACGAAACUUGCCCCGAGAUGAGUUCUCCCUGAGACUUAGAGUCUCCUGAAGGAACGUUGAAGACGACGACGUUGAUAGGCCGGGUGUGUAAGCGCAGCGAUGCGUUGAGCUAACCGGUACUAAUGAACCGUGAGGCUUAACCUUACAACGCCGAAG